AUUGAACGCUGGCGGCAUGCUUUACACAUGCAAGUCGAACGGUAACAGGGUGCUUGCACCGCUGACGAGUGGCGAACGGGUGAGUAAUGCGUCGGAACGUGCCGAGUAGUGGGGGAUAACGCAGCGAAAGUUGUGCUAAUACCGCAUACGUACUGAGGUAGAAAGUGGGGGACCUUCGGGCCUCACGCUAUUCGAGCGGCCGGCGUCUGAUUAGCUAUUAGGUGAGGUAAAGGCUCACCUAGGCGACGAUCAGUAGCGGGUCUGAGAGGAUGAUCCGCCACACUGGGACUGGGACACGGCCCAGACUCCUACGGGAGGCAGCAGUGGGGAAUUUUGGACAAUGGGCGAAAGCCUGAUCCAGCCAUGCCGCGUGUCUGAAGAAGGCCUUCGGGUUGUAAAGGACUUUUGUCAGGGAGGAAAUCCCUAGUGCUAAUAACACUGGGGGAUGACAGUACCUGAAGAAUAAGCACCGGCUAACUACGUGCCAGCCGCCGCAGUAA
rnacentral:rRNA from 1 species